GUGGGGAAUUUUGGACAAUGGGCGAAAGCCUGAUCCAGCCAUGCCGCGUGCAGGAUGAAGGCCUUCGGGUUGUAAACUGCUUUUGUACGGAACGAAAAGACUCCUUCUAAUAAAGGGGGUCCAUGACGGUACCGUAAGAAUAAGCACCGGCUAACUACGUGCCAGCAGCCGCGGUAAUACGUAGGGUGCAAGCGUUAAUCGGAAUUACUGGGCGUAAAGCGUGCGCAGGCGGUUAUAUAAGACAGAUGUGAAAUCCCCGGGCUCAACCUGGGAACUGCAUUUGUGACUGUAUAGCUAGAGUACGGUAGAGGGGGAUGGAAUUCCGCGUGUAGCAGUGAAAUGCGUAGAUAUGCGGAGGAACACCGAUGGCGAAGGCAGUCCCCUGGGCCUGUACUGACGCUCAUGCACGAAAGCGUGGGGAGCAAACAGGAUUAGAUACCCCGGUAGUCC
rnacentral:rRNA from 1 species